rnacentral:rRNA from 1 species
AAUCACGGCCAUACCAUCCUGAACUCGCCCGAUCUCCUCUGAUCUCGGAAGCUAAGCAGGGUCGGGCCUGGUUAGUACUUGGAUAGGAGCUAUGGUUU